AGGAAAGUGGGAGAUAGAGAGGGGAUGGCAUGCAGCAAAUCAGCAAGGACAGCAAGGUACAUGGGGCGCCAGCUCUACCAGUGUUUCAACAACAUGAAGUCUGCGUGGCUGCUGUCCUCUCUGCUGCUGCUGCUGGAAGUGAACUGUGAGUCUCUUCAGGGAAGCAGCAAGCCCAAUUUUGUCCUGAUGAUGGUGGAUGACCUAGGAAUUGGAGACUUGGGCUGCUAUGGCAAUACAACACUGAGGACCCCAAAUAUUGACCAGUUGGCACAGGAAGGGGCGAAGCUGACCCAUCAUAUCGCUGCAGCAAGCCUCUGCACUCCCAGCAGGGCAGCAUUUCUCACCGGACGAUACCCGAUACGAUCAGGUAUAGCCGGUGUUGGCAGACCUGGUGUCUUUAUAUUGAAUGCAGCCUCCGGAGGUCUUCCCAGCCAAGAGGUUACCUUUGCCAAGAUUGCCAAAGAACAAGGCUAUGAGACGGCUCUUAUCGGAAAAUGGCACCUAGGACUUAACUGUAAGAGCAGUGACGACCAUUGCCACCACCCCAGUAUCCACGGCUUUAACUAUUUCUUUGGUAUCCCCUUGACCAACAUGCGGGACUGCCAGCCAGGACAUGGCACCGUGUUCCAGUUCCAUAAAUAUUUGCCAUGGAGGACACUGGCCAUUGUCUUGCUCACUGCAGCCUUACUCCACUACAGUGGCUUUAUCACCAUCCGCAGAUGGACGAUUCUGAGCCUGCUGUCCCUGUUGGUGAUGGUAACAGGUCUGUUAGCAGGAUUCAUAAUGGUUAUUCCAUACUUCAACUGUGUUCUCAUGAGGGACCACAGAGUUGUGGAGCAACCGUUCACAUCUGAAAACCUGACUCAGAGGAUGACUCAUGAGGCAGUGGACUUCAUAGAGAGGAACUCAGCAAGGCCUUUCCUGCUGUUUGUCUCUUUUCUCCAAGUGCACACAGCCAUGUUUGCUUCAGCAGCAUUCAGAGGAACGAGCCACCACGGCAUCUAUGGAGACGCUGUCCAUGAAGUGGACUGGAGUGUAGGUCAGAUCAUGCAGACUCUGGACAGACUCAACCUGGGAAAAAACACUCUGGUUUAUCUGACUUCAGACCAGGGGGCACACCGAGAGGAAAUCUCUACCAGAGGGGAGGUCCAUGGAGGAUGGAAUGGAAUUUAUAAAGCAGGGAAGUCCACGAACUGGGAGGGAGGGAUCCGGGUCCCAGGAAUUCUGCGUUGGCCAGGAAACAUCCCCGGUGGUAUACAGGUAGACGAGCCCACCAGCAACAUGGACCUGUUUCCUACAGUGGUGCAGCUGAGCGGAGCCUUGGUCCCAGAAGACAGGGAGGUCGAUGGUCAUGACCUCAUGGAUUUGCUUCAGGGGAGAGCUGAAAGGUCCAAUCACGAGUUCCUGUUCCAUUACUGCAACGCCUACUUGAAUGCAGUCAGAUGGCACCCCGAAAACAGAGGAGGUGAACGAUACCUCUAACUUGUCAGGAGCUGUGAUCAUUACGGCAGCCACCAGGGCCCCGGCCGAGGCCCCUGCACAGGCCCUGAGGGAGCCCAGCAGCUUGUCCCCGUGACGGAAAAAGGCCUCCACAGCACCCAGGUGGUAGAUCCCCAAGAAACCACACGCAGCAAAGGACAGGUUCAGGACUGUCAUCCUCAACACCUACAAAGACAACAAUGACAAGGUCGAUUCACUCUCUGUGUGUGGGCAUUACAUUCUUCAAGACUGACCCGUAUACCAGUUCCCACACCAGUUCUGGGACUACCUGAUCUCCCCCAGUGUAUCCUGUUCAACAAUUUCUGUUGUGUGUUGGACAGGACACAUCUUUCUGCAGCUUUCAGUGGGUGGUACUGUGAACAUCUAAGGAGCUUCAAAGUAGAGCCAACCGGAAAGACUGAAGUCCUUCAGCAUUCCGAAUUGAAAGAUACAUACCCCUUGGCUGCAUAUAAUACAGCAGAUGGUCGGAUGGUGUCCCUGAAACACUUAAUUUGCACAUCACACUGAGGACAACACACCCCAAACAGCAAUGGCGGCCCAGUUACGAGUCAUACUAGAAGAACACGAUAUACGAAAGUUGACACUUCCAACAGCAAUCCCUAAUACAGUGGAAGAUCUUUUAAUAGUUGUUGAAACUUUCCAGUUAGAUGGGGAAUUUGGACUAUUAUCAGAAGACAGCGAUUUUGGGAACCAAUUUUUCAGUGUCACCUCAACUGCUGACCUGCACGACAAGGCCACUGUGAAAUUGAUCAGAAAAGAGCCUGUGAUCACCCUUGACCUACACCCAAUAGAUGAAUCUGGAUUGUCCUCUACAGUGAGUUCAGUGGAUUCUGUGAGUAAUAGGGAAUUGGUGUCCUCUCUUGAAUCGUCUAGCUCACAAGACACCAUUAUUCUCCCUGUCUCAUGCCGCUCUGCUCCAUGGCCAGUGCCAUUUCAAAUACCACAGUUUUCCUGUGAUGUUGAACUUAUCCUUGCAGAGGCAAACAAAUCAUAUCAUGCCACAGGAACACACUUUGAAGAUGCAAGUGUUAAAUCAGCAAUAAUUCAUGACCUUUCAAAAGUCAUAUUCUCUUACACUGCCUACCCCUCAAGUCAGCAAAUAACGUCUGUGGCCGAAGCACUAGUUGAGAAGUUCCCAUGCCUUAAGGAGCCGGGCUCCUUUGCAGGGCUAUACGGUUGGCAGCAGCGCAUCAAAUAUAAGAUGCACAAUUACUGUGCCAAGCUAAGAUCACGAAAAUAUGCUUAUCCUGAAAUAGAAAUCAACACAUUGAAGAGAAAGCAUCCGGCUGGUGCAGCAGCUAAAAAUGUGAAAAAACCAAAGAAAGCAGAAGUGAAUUAUCUCCCUCCACAUCCUAUUGGACAAGAUGAAGACACAUUGGAGAAGGAGAGGCUUGAAUUAAUCGAUGAAAUGGAAAAGAAGAAUAAUGCAAAGAUAAUCACAGAAAAAAUGUCUAAAACCUUCUCAAGUCGAAGAGUUGAAGUGGUGACUCUCAGCCCUGCUGUUGCCAUCUUUAAAGAAAGGUGGCCUGCAUUGUUUAGUGAGACUCAGAUCAAAGAAGAGUUCCGUCGUAUAACGACAAUUUCCUUGGAGGAGACAUUCAUGCGGAAGCUUGAUGAGUACUUACCAUGUCUUCUACAGCUGAUGCGUGCAAAAGGAGGAGCUGCUGGUUCCAGGAUGUGUCCUCUACUGGACACUGUAAAUGAGUCACAGAGCCUUGAGAAAAAAAGGGAUGUAGUUCUCUGUUGCCUUACUGAGUAUCUUGGGGAAAGACAAGAGGACCUUUUCCAAGAUUGCCAGGACUGUGAGGACUACACAAACCAAACCAUUAAGGUCAUUGUGAUCCAUGAUGUCAUGGCUGAGGAAGAUCCAGCAGAAGUGGCCAUUGUCUUCGAGGGACACCAAGUGCUGACUGGGUGUGGAAAUCGAACCAAGGCAUGUGUGCUGCUCAUGGGAUUGAUCUAUGCCCUCAAUCUUGAGUAUCCCAAGACACUGAAAAAUACCUUGGAAGUAUUCCAGAAACUUUUUCUGGAGCUUGACGGAACAAAGCUUCUUAAGAAGGUCCACAGCCUCAAAAGCAAGCUCAUGGAAUGAACUGUUUAUGUGAAAGUUCUGGCAUACCUGACGUUUCUGAUCUCCUCCUCUCCUCUCCUGUCCUAUUCCUCUUUCUCUCCUCUCCUCUUCCUCUUUCCCUCCCCUCCCCUCCUCUCCUCCUCUUCCUCUUCCUCUCCUCUCCUCCCUGACCACAGCCUCAAAAGCAAGCUCAUGGAAUGAACUGUUUAUAUGAAAGUUCUGGCAUGUCUGACGUUUCCCCUCUUGUUCUAAUGAGGUUUUUUCGUUCAUAUAAUUUCAGGAACUUGCUUCAUAUACAUAGCAUUCUGCAGAGCAUAGCACUUAGUUUUUGUAGAUGGAGACAGUUGGAUGGGGUUGUGUCAUUUUUUAUUUAUUUAUUUGAUUUUAUUUGAGCAAUCCUAAAUACUUCAAACAAGUAAAAAAAACAAAUGUUUUGUCUAGUUGUUCAGGAACAACAUGUUAUUAUGAAAAAGGUGUUUGAAAUGUUUUGUGAUCCUGUUGUGCAGAACGUUGCAUAUUAUUUUAAAACUUUUGAACACUUUUGAAGGUGCUUCAACUCUCCCUUGCUCUACUCUUGUUCCCUGUAGCAAUAAUUUAUCCUCAGGUGGAAAUAUUUUGUGAUACAAUUGUUCCUUUGCACAGCAAAGGACAAGCAGUUGUUCUCAUGGUCCACAUGUUUUUUAUGUGGUUGAAUAAAAAACAUUGACAUAA